rnacentral:rRNA from 1 species
AGAGUUUGAUCAUGGCUCAGAUUGAACGCUGGCGGCAUGCUUUACACAUGCAAGUCGAACGGGCUUAGGGGCUUGCUCCUAAGUUAGUGGCGAACGGGUGAGUAAUGCAUCGGAACGUACCGUGUAGUGGGGGAUAACCCGGCGAAAGUCGGAUUAAUACCGCAUGAGUCUACGGAUGAAAGCAGGGGAUCGCAAGACCU